rnacentral:rRNA from 1 species
AUUGACUAUGUAGAGUUUGGUUGUAGCUGGCUCCUAAUUAAACUUGGGGGCAUGUGCACACCUUUCUCUUUCAUCCCAUACACACCUGUGCACCUGUGAGACAGAUGUUUUGUGGGGGGGAAGGAACUUUAUUGGACCUUCUACUCCCCCUUGACUUCUGUCUACUUAAUUCAUAUAAACUCAAUUUAUUUUAAAACGGAUGUAAUGGAUGUAACACAUCUAAUACUAAGUUUCAACAACGGAUCUCUUGGCUCUCGCAUCGAUGAAGAACGCAGCGAAAUGCGAUAAGUAAUGUGAAUUGCAGAAUUCAGUGAAUCAUCGAAUCUUUGAACGCACCUUGCGCUCCUUGGUAUUCCUUGGAGCAUGCCUGUUUGAGUAUCAUGAAAUCUUCAAAGUCAAACCUUUUGUUAAUUCAAUUGGUUCUGCUUUGGUAUUGGAGGAUUAUUGCAGCUUCACACCUGCUCCUCUUUGUGCAUUAGCUGGAUCUCAGUGUUAUGCUUGGUUCCACUCAGCGUGAUAAGUUAUCUAUCGCUGAGGACACCCUGUUAAAAAGGGGUGGCCAAGGUAAAUGCAGAUGAACCGCUUCUAAUAGUCCAUUGACUUGGACAAUAUCUAAUUUAUGAUCUGAUCUCAAAUCAGGUAGGACUACCCGCUGAACUUAAGCAUAUCAAAACCCCGA